rnacentral:rRNA from 1 species
CAGCCGCGGGAAUGCGUAGGUGGCAAGCGUUGUCCGGAAUUAUUGGGCGUAAAGGGCUCGCAGGCGGUUUCUUAAGUCUGAUGUGAAAGCCCCCGGCUUAACCGGGGAGGGUCAUUGGAAACUGGGAGACUUAGAGUGCAGAAGAGGAGAGUGGAAUUCCAUGUGUAGCGGUGAAAUGCGUAGAUAUAUGGAGGAACACCAGUGGCGAAGGCGACUCUCUGGUCUGUAACUGACGCUGAGGCGCGAAAGCGUGGGGAGCAAACAGGAUUAGAUACCCCAGUAGUCCCUGUCUCUUAUACAC